rnacentral:rRNA from 1 species
CGGACAUCAGGAGGUUAGUGCAAUGGCAUAAGCCAGCUUGACUGCGAGCGUGACGGCGCGAGCAGGUGCGAAAGCAGGUCAUAGUGAUCCGGUGGUUCUGAAUGGAAGGGCCAUCGCUCAACGGAUAAAAGGUACUCCGGGGAUAACAGGCUGAUACCGCCCAAGAGUUCAUAUCGACGGCGGUGUUUGGCACCUCGAUGUCGGCUCAUCACAUCCUGGGGCUGAAGUAGGUCCCAAGGGUAUGGCUGUUCGCCAUUUAAAGUGGUACGCGAGCUGGGUUUAGAACGUCGUGAGACAGUUCGGUCCCUAUCUGCCGUGGGCGCUGGAGAACUGAGGGGGGCUGCUCCUAGUACGAGAGGACCGGAGUGGACGCAUCACUGGUGUUCGGGUUGUCAUGCCAAUGGCACUGCCCGGUAGCUAAAUGCGGAAGAGAUAAGUGCUGAAAGCAUCUAAGCACGAAACUUGCC